AGGGGUUGAAACAUUUAGAUGAACACCCUAUAAUAAAACUGUAUUGGAGAGGGGUUGAAUCAUAUCAGAUGAACACCCUAUAAUAAAACUGUAUUGGAGAGGGGUUGAAUCAUUUAGAUAACACCCUAUAAUAAAACUGUAUUGGAGAGGGGUUGAAUCAUAUCAGAUUAACACCCUAUAUCUACACCCUUUAUCACUCUGCAAGCGGUCAACUAAAUAAACAAAUAUAGAACAUAGAACAAUGUAGUGAGAAACUAAAUAAACAAAUAUAGAACAUAGAACAAUGUAGUGAGAAACUAAAUAAACAAAUAUAGAACAAUCUAGUGAGAAUCUAAAUAAACUAAUAUAGAACAUUCUAGUGCUUUAGGCAGCUGGUACUGGAACUAUCCCAACGUGGAAACCAGUUUAAAAGGAUGCUUUCAAUUAACAAGGGCACAAUCUAUAUUUUUAUCAUAUAGGUCUGAAAACCAGCCAAUUAAAAACAUACAGUCUUCAAGUGCCUCUUUUGACUGUGUCUCUCAUUCAAGCCAAAGGCAAGUUGGUAUGUGUCUCAUCAUACAUAUUAUCAAGAGCAGGACUAAAUAAAUAGUCGUACUACACUGUACUGUCCAUCCAUGGUGUCAAACAUCUUAGCAGGUAAGCCUCUACAGCCAGCUGAAACAUAUAAUGUUACAACAUAGCAGCUAAGCCUCUACAGCCAGCUGAAACAUAUAAUGUUACAACAUAGCAGCUAAGCCUCUACAGCCAGCUGAAACAUAUAAUGUUACAACAUAGCAGCUAAGCCUCUACAGCCAGCUGAAACAUAUAACGUUACAACAUAGCAGCUAAGCCUCUACAGCCAGCUGAAACAUAUAACGUUACAACAUAGCAGCUAAGCCUCUACAGCCAGCUGAAACAUAUAACGUUACAACAUAGCAGCUAAGCCUCUACAGCCAGCUGAAACAUAUAAUGUUACAACAUAGCAGCUAAGCCUCUACAGCCAGCUGAAACAUAUAACGUUACAACAUAGCAGGUAAGCCUCUACAGCCAGCUGAAACAUGAAACGUUACAACACAGCAUUAAUUUCCUCUCCCUCCUUCCUUCCUACAUCCCGCCCGGCUGGCACUCUGUCGUGCUCCAACUCCCUCACUCCCUCACUCCCUCACUCCCUCUCUACUUCUUUCCAUCUCUCCUAUGCUCUUUCUCUUGUCAUCCAAAACAGAAGCGGAGGGCUGCCAUUUUGUUUGCAUGCAAAGUGACUAAUGCCUUUGGCUUUCAUAACGUUCAUAAUGCUCUUUUCUGCCUCCCAAAUGGCACCCUGUGGGUCCUGGUCUAAAGUAGUGCAUUAAACAGGGACUACGGUGUCAUUUGGGACGCAGACAUCAUGUUGAGAUGAAUGCUGAGUAGCUCUGUGCAGACAGGCAGACAGACAGACAGACAGACAGACAGACAGACAGACAGACAGACAGACAGACAGACAGACAGACAGACAGACAGACAGACAGACAGACAGGCAGGCAGGCAGGCAGGCAGGCAGGCAGGCAGGCAGGCAGGAAGGUAGGCAAACAAACAAACAAACAGCCAGACAGGGAGACAGACAGGGGUGAGUGUGGAAGGGGACGGUCGGGGACUUACUAGUGCAGUAGAGCUCGUUGUUUAGACAGGUAUGUCUGUGACGAUGUCAAAUACACUAUCAUUCCCAUAAUACAGCCAGAGACAUGGGCACUGUUCAGUCACUUUUAGCAGAAUAUCGAUGCUUGUUGUUAUUAUCGUUUAGUGAACGACAACAACAGUUGGUGCAAGUUUGGAUAUGCCAGAAGGUCUUGAUUCAGUAAUGCCCCAGAAACACAUCUCUUAGAGUUGGAAGGUGAUCGCUGGGCACAAUGGAAGGCUGUUUCUAUACAAAAGGGUUUUGUUUGUUGUCACACAACAGACUUAACAGGCAGACAAACAGAGGAUGGAUGGAUAGAAUCUACAACCACGUGACCACUCUAGAACCAUUUGAACACCCUAGAACCAUGUGAAAACUCUAGAACCAUGUGAACACUCUAGAAGCAUGUGAACAUUCUAGAACCAUGUGAACACUCUAGAACCAUGUGACCACUCUAGAACCUUGUGAACAUUCUAGAACCAUGUGAACACUCUAGAACCAUGUGACCGCUCUAGAACCAUGUGAACACUCUAGAACCAUGUGACCGCUCUACAACC
ensembl:lncRNA